GACGAACGCUGGCGGCGUGCUUAACACAUGCAAGUCGAACGCUGAAGCUCAGCUUUUGUUGGGUGGAUGAGUGGCGAACGGGUGAGUAACACGUGAGUAACCUGCCUCCUUCUUUGGGAUAACGCCCGGAAACGGGUGCUAAUACUGGAUAUUCACUGGUCUUCGCAUGGGGGUUGGUGGAAAGGGUUUUUCUGGUGGGGGAUGGGCUCGCGGCCUAUCAGCUUGUUGGUGGGGUGAUGGCCUACCAAGGCUUUGACGGGUAGCCGGCCUGAGAGGGUGACCGGUCACAUUGGGACGGAGAUACGGCCCAGACUCCUACGGGAGGCAGCAGUGGGGAAGAUUGCACAAUGGGCGCAAGCCUGAUGCAGCGACGCCGCGUGAGGGAUGGAGGCCUUCGGGUUGUGAACCUCUUUCGCUCAUGGUCUAGCCGCAACAAUGGUUGUGGUGAGGGUAGUGGGUAAAGAAGCGCCGGCUAACUACGUG
rnacentral:rRNA from 1 species